rfam:Acinetobacter radioresistens SK82 contig00034, whole genome shotgun sequence.
CAUCGCUUCAGGGCGGGGUGAAAUUCCCCACCGGUGGUAAAGUUGUUUCAAUAUAAAAUCAGCAAGCCCACGAGCGUAUUACCUAUUUAAAGUACUACGCAGAUUUGGUGCAAUUCCAAAGCCGACGGUAUAGUCCGGAUGAAAGAAGACGAGA